rnacentral:lncRNA from 1 species
CGUCCCGUGCCUGGCGGCGCUCCCUCCCGGGGCGUCCCGCCUUUGGCGGCGCUCCCGGGCCCAUGGCGCUGCCCUCGGUGCACAGGUGCCUCCAACUCAGUGAUGAAAACGAACAGUUACUCAAGAAGUUGAAAAAACUACGUAUUAAAAAUAAAGAGCUAGAAAAGAAUCUGGCUCAGUUCCAAGAGAAACUGCGUAUGCAGCAGUUAAUACACGGCUAUGUCACAAGCAGAGAAUGA